rnacentral:rRNA from 1 species
GGAAUCUUGCGCAAUGGGCGAAAGCCUGACGCAGCAACGCCGCGUGGGGGAUGAAGGCUUUCGGGUUGUAAACCACUUUCAGGAGGGAAGAAAUUGACGGUACCCCCAAAAGAAGGACCGGCCAACUACGUGACAGCAGCCGCGGUAAUACGUAGGGUCCUCGCGUUAUCCGGAAUCAUUGGGCGUAAAGAGCUCGUAGGCGGUUCAGCAAGUCGGCUGUGAAAGUCCGAGGCUCAACCUCGGAAUUGCAGUCGAUACUGCUGUGACUCGAGUCCGGUAGAGGAGAAUGGAAUUCUCGGUGUAGCGGUGAAAUGCGCAGAUAUCGAGAGGAACACCAGUAGCGAAGGCGGUUCUCUGGGCCGGCACUGACGCUGAGGAGCGAAAGCGUGGGGAGCAAA